GGGGCUGUAUUGGUUUUGACAGCGUUGGUUGCGGUAGGUGUAAGCAUGCAGUGCGUUGGAUAAUUAGCACUUUAAUCUGAAUAUUCAAAAUUCAAAUGGCAAUACACAGUAUGCCAUGGCUGCCUAAUCAGUGAUUAGAUAGUCAUUAGGGCCGCGUCACGCAAGUGAUCCUCCGGGAUUGAGCAGGUUGUUCUGUUACCACGCUCCGCCGCCGACUCAAAACCAAACACAGAAUGCUGCUGCAGAAGGCUGUGACUGCAGCAAAAGACCAUACAGCUACGGAAGAGAUUGGUUUGUCCUGUCCCUGUUUUUCCCGACAAAUAAUUCAGGAAUAAGCAUGUAGAAAGCUUAUGGUAAUAACGUUUGGACAGGGGUUCGACCCCCCUCAGCUCCACUU
rnacentral:tmRNA from 1 species